rnacentral:lncRNA from 1 species
CAUCCUGCCUCCCCCCGCACAACUUUGCCCGCCGCGCUGCGUGUGCGGCCGCGGCCCCCCCUCCACCGCGGGAGGGGACUCGGGGGUCCCGGAAGCCCGGACCCCCGGAGUGGGACGCGCGGCCGCGGCGCGGGGCGGCGGGCCGGGCGCGGGGCUGUUUACGCGGCGCCAAGUCCUCCCUCCGCCGCCCGCACGCCCCCCGCCCGGCCCGGCGCGGCCCGCCGCUUACCUCGGCUCACCAGUUUGAAGCUCUGGGAUUUCCUGCUCCUCUUCCUCUCGGAGAACUCCAUGGUGCUGGCAGGAGGCAGGAGGCAGGGGCUGCGGCCGGGGGGCGGCCGGCGGGCGGAGGGAGCGGCGGCCGAGGCGGCGGCGGCGGCGGCGGCGGCGCUGGCUCUUGUCACCCGGCAGCGGGAGCGCCAGGACCAAGGAAAUCCAGACUCGACAGGCUUCAGACACCAUCUAUGCUUCCAUCUCAGUUGGCUUCUCAUCAUGAUCACGAGAUCAAUGCUUCUAUUACAACAGUCACAUGAAAGAAAAUCCAAUGUAAGAAGAGGCACUAUUCUUCUGAUUUAGUCAGAGGGGAAAUGCCACCUGAGGUCUGAGCGCACAUGUGACAGAAAUCCUGGGAGAGAAGCACCGUCGUGAACUUGUUCUUGAAGGAAGUGAGGGGUCUGCAUAGGCCGAGAAAUUGGGAUUCGUGGCAGCAGGAGUGGCCGUGAUCUAGGGAUGAGUGCCAGCGAGCAAGAAAGAGGCAGAGCUGACCGGACUCCGCAAGAGGAGGGUUGUAUUUAGGAUCCAUGACAAAUAAGUACUUAAACGUAAGAAUGAGAAAUUGGGGGCUGGUCACAUAAUCUUGGAAUAAUUGGGAGAAGAUGCAUUUAUCUUUCUCCCAUACUCAGGAGUUGAGUGGCCUGGAUUUGUUUCAGGGGCUGUAACAAUUCAUUUUAGAUCGGCCGGGCCAUGGCACCCAGUCGUUUGGUCCAGCACCAGUUUAGAGGUGGUUUGUUCCGUGAGACUAGCAUUUAAGUCAGCAGAGUUUUGAGUAACGCAGGUGCCCUCCGUAAUGUUUGGGUCUCAUCCAAUCAGAUGGGGGCCUUAAGAGAGACUGGCUGAGGUUCCCCAGAUUCUACCUCCAGGCUGCCUUUGCAUCGACUGCAGCAUCAGGUCUUCCCGGGGUCCAGCCUGUUGGCCUGCCUGCAGCUUUUGGACUUGCCAGCCUCCAUGAGCCAUUUCCUGAAAGUAAAUCUCUCUGUGUAUUUAUUUAGGCUGCUGUUCUGCUUCUUUGGAGAACCGCUCUGGCCAAUACAAUGGCUAAUAGUCCAGUGCCAGCUCUGAAUUCCUCUUGCCUCCUUCUUGCCCGCAACCCAAAUCGGCUUCCAGCUAAUUCUUAAUGUGUGGAAAAAUAGGCAAUUUAUGUUAAGGUGUUGUUGACGUGAAGUGGAUAGGGCAUUGUAGUGCCUCUUAAACAACGAUAAUGCCUUCAGGCCAAAAGAGAGGAGUGCUAAAAGGUUAGCGGAUUGUACCAUACAUAUGCAUCGGUUAUCUGUACACAGGUAUGUGUUUUUACUUAUUUGGGUUUUGGUUGGAGUCGCUUUCUGGAGGUCAGUCUCUGCCAGCUGUGGAUGGUCGGCGCUUGCAACGGCAGGCUAAGUCUUCACAGUCUGGUAAUAGAUUUUCUCAGUCCACGGGUGGUACGUUAAGAACCCAGGUCCCCUAGUUCCAGACGCAGUCUGCUGCUGUCAACCAGACAUCUAAUGCGG